GCUACAGAGCAGAGCUCAACCGAGGUAACAGCAGUAGCAACCAAGGAAUCAGAGAAGCACCCGAAGAUCAGUAAUCGCAAGGAAGAAGGCGAGUGAGCGCGGCCUAGGUCGCCAGCUAUCACCGGGACUUCGUGCCGAAAUCGUGACACAUGAGCCGCCGUAAUCAUCCUGACGGUAACGGCCUGGGCACACGUUGUUUGUGAAGCCUCACAAUAUUUAUCCGCGUGUUUGCAUGACCACCGGUUAUUUAGAGCGAUUACCUGUUCGGCAGAUUGGUAAUAUCACCAAGCACGAAUCAUCGACAACCGCUCAUAAUCUUCGCGCGUAUUACCGUUCUCGCUUGCCGCCGUUUGUUUGUAACCGUUAUUAAGGUCUCGAAGAUCAUAUUGCUAUCACCGGUCGAAAGUCGGUCACGACCGUCCGUACCUUGACGUAUAAAAUCUCCGGCGGCAUUGUAUUCACAACCGUUACAAUAUUUCGUGAUUCGUAUUGAUAACAAUGGAUCGCAGAUCGUUAACAUCGGAUCAUAACAACGGUGUUUAUUUGCGUUGUUCCCGGUCAACGGUUAUCAGGGCCGGUAACAGACGCGGUUACUCUAUUUCAAAAGUACGAAUCAGCGAGCCGAGUGGGACAGCCCUCUCCGAUACCGCGGUUAACGGCGAUAACUUCCUUUUCUAUUGCGUAUCUUGUCAGUCUAUUGUAUAUCAUACCGGCGAUACGAAUUACUAGAUAGUUUAAGUAUAUAUUAAGUAUAUAUUUGUCGUAUUUUGAAUAAACGAGCUACGAUAGAGGGUUCAAGACGUUAUCACACCGACGAAUAACUACCGAUCAGAUCAUUCGGAGCACCUUCCUCUCCAGCUAGACCUUCCUCUUCGGCGAGCGACACCACGAGAGCGGCGAGCGAGGCGCGACGGUGUACGCGACCGAUCGUAUCGAACCACCGGGCGUACCGUCACAAUUUCAAAAGUCAAGUUCGGCAAUACUCGUCGGGACUGUGAAGUACUUGACGUCAUAACGUCAUGUUAUAAGGAAUUCCCUCUCGACAUCAGAAGGCUACGUUUAUAUGCAAUAAAUUAUGAUAAUUAUAUGUGGCUGAAAAGAGAAGUCGUCGAAACGUAAAUAAUUCCGAAAUACAAUUUAUUCAAUUUCCUCAUAUUAAAUUCCGGGAAAUAAUAUCCAUGUCGUCAUCUUGAUUAGUACAUCGUCAAAGCAUUUG